UUGAGCACUCCAUCAUGAGCAGUGGUGGUAGUAACGGUGUAGUAGUGACAUCUAGUGGUGGUAGUGACGGUGUAGUAGUGACAUCUAGUGGUGGUAGUCAGAGCUAAUCAGGUUAUCAAUGAUGGUGUUAUAGUGAAGGUCAGUACAGUGACCAACCUCAAGGGUACUAAAGGUCAGUUGAAGUUCAAAGGUCGUGCAGAGAAGACGUGUUGCUCCUCCUCCUGCCACCCCCGCCGGCUUUAUCGCUUCCUCAGCCUCUUAAUACACCUAAAUAACGUGUGGUAACUGAGGAGUGCUGUGCCUGGCUGUGUCUGCUGCAACAUUGAUCAACACAGCAACAUUGACCAGUCUGAGGGGUGGAGACAACCACACUAGUAAAUGGUCUGGCACAUAACAUUAUAUGGAGAUGCAGCAGCUGGAGACGUCGUUAGAGGUGGGCAGGGCCCACUUGUAAGGUUGGAGAUUGUUGUGGGCAGCUGCUGUGUGGUGAAGUUCAUGUUGUGGGUAGCUGCUGUGUGGUGAAGUUCGUGUUGUGGGCAGCUGCUGUGUGGUGAAGUUCGUGUUGUGGGCAGCUGCUGUGUGGUGAAGUCCAUGUUGUGGGCAGCUGCUGUGUGGUGAAGUUCGUGUUGUGGGCAGCUGCUGUGUGGUGAAGUUCGUGUUGUGGGCAGCUGCUGUGUGGUGAAGUCCAUGUUGUGGGCAGCUGCUGUGUGGUGAAGUCCAUGUUGUGGGCAGCUGCAGGUCUUCAGAGAUGUCAUCACUACCAGCAACACGCCAAAACAAUGUCUGCAAAGGUUGAUGGAACUGGAUGAGCUGGAGGUGUUGGUGUGGUGGAUGGCAGAGGAGUGACUAGUGGCGCCACUGUUCUUGACCUCCAUGGCUAAAUGGCGCCAUUGACCUGGAGGAGGGUGGGGUGAUGACGUCAGUGGUUGUUUGUGGCUUUCAUAUGUGCUGACAAGUAAACAAAGGCUGUGGUUUGCUUUAAAGUGAUAUUUGCUGUACAGCGGUGGUCUGGAACGUAACCUGCCGUGUUAACCAGGUAUGCCUGUAUAUUUAAAGAACUUAAUUGCAGUCUAAACUUUGCAUUAUCAAUGAACUAGCAAAGUAGAAUGCUUUGAUUUCGAGCUACUGAUUAUUGGAACUAGAAAACUUAAGUCUAUAACAAUAACUGGCAAGCCACUUUCCUUUUUUUUUUUUUCAUUCUUUGGUAAGCUUUUUU